rnacentral:lncRNA from 1 species
AUUAUUUUUGAUUAUUAUUAUUAUUAUUAACCAUUAAAAUGAAAUAUAUAUAAAAAAAUGUAAAUCACGUAAAAUAGUUCAGAAUUGGUAAAUCAUGCACUCUCAGAAAAAAGGAACAAAAGUUGUCACUGGGGCAGUACCUUUUCAAAAGGCACACCUUUGUACCUGAAGAGUCCAUAUUGUUACCUUAAAGGUACAUAUUAGUACCUAAAGUGUCAAAAGGCACACCUUUGUACCUGAAGAGUCCAUAUGUUACCUAAGGUACAUAUUAGUACCUAAAGUGUACGUAUUAGUACCUAAAAGGUACAAAAGUGUACCUUUUGAAAAGGUACCGCCCCAGUGAGAGCAUUUGUACCUUUUAUAGUGAGAGUGUGUAGGCUUUUUUUGUAAUAGACAUCCUUCAGUGAGGUUUAGGCAUUUUGAAAGAAAUCAAGGAGUGUACUGUAUGUGAAACAGUUAAUUAAGAUAUUGUUAACGUUUGAGUAAUAUUACCUCCAGUGGCUUUUCUCUCCUAAUAUGGCCAGGAUACUUCCUUCUCUGUAAUGAUUUUGGCCUGAAUCUCAGCUAGGCAAAGGCAACAGUGGAAUGGGAAUAAUAUUUGGGCCAAGAUUUAGCAGUACUGGCAGACUACCAGCCAUAAUGCGUUUGGUGUUUGAUUAAUUGCUUUUUCUUAAGAAGCUGCCCUUCCUAACUCUGGUUUUACUGUUUAUGAUGGUUCAGGUCAAGACACGACUAGAAGAAUAUGGCUAUUUAAAAAACUGUUAGAUGCCAACCCUUUGUCUUUUAUUGUGAAUACAUGAAGCUCAGUGCCAAAACUGUGAUUGCAAAACACGGCACUUGAGUCCCGGAAUCAGGCUGUAGUAAAAGAUGAUUACUGUUAACCUCCCAUCUUCCUGUUAAUGGCCUGCAGCAGACAUGAUUAAAAGGUGCUACUUGUGAGUCUGUGAACUAACAAAUGCUGAGUUAUAUAUCAAGCUGCAUAGCUGUAGGUCUGGAUGACUGAGGCCUGUGAUUUGAAUGAUGGUAUGCAGCACAUAAAGUCUUCAGCUAGGAACAAAUUUUGUCACAUCUUACAAACUGAAGACUCUGGCCCUACGGUGCUAAGUUCAGCAAAGCAUGCAGGAAGGGACGAAAAACAAAGAACAAAAUUCUCUACUUCAUGCAGCACACUGAGGUAAAUGCUAUUUUUUAAUUUAAAAGUUUCUACACGAGUCUGUCCUUUCUUAGUUAUUCCUAGGCAAAAUAAAUAAUGAUGACUGCAUUACAACAUUUGA